ACACUAUGAUUAGGGCAUUUCUUUAUUAACAUCUUAUAUCUCUCCAAGCUACAUAGAGAUGCUCAUCUGUAUAUUGCUUAAAGCUAAGAAAUUCAUCUCUUACUUC